rnacentral:rRNA from 1 species
GGCUUAGAGUUUGAUCAUGGCUCAGGAUGAACGCUGGCGGCGUGCCUAACACAUGCAAGUCGAGCGACGCGAUUUCGAGGAAGUUUUCGGAUGGAAUUGGAAUUGACUGAGCGGCGGACGGGUGAGUAACGCGUGGGUAACCUGCCUCAUACAGGGGGAUAACAGUUAGAAAUGACCGCUAAUACCGCAUAAGCGCACAGGACCGCAUGGUCUGGUGUGAAAAACUCCGGUGGUAUGAGAUGGACCCGCGUCUGAUUAGCUGGUUGGUGGGGUAACGGCCUACCAAGGCGACGAUCAGUAGCCGACCUGAGAGGGUGACCGGCCACAUUGGGACUGAGACACGGCCCAAACUCCUACGGGAGGCAGCAGUGGGGAAUAUUGCACAAUGGGGGAAACCCUGAUGCAGCGACGCCGCGUGAGUGAAGAAGUAUUUCGGUAUGUAAAGCUCUAUCAGCAGGGAAGAAAAUGACGGUACCUGACUAAGAAGCCCCGGCUAACUACGUGCCAGCAGCCGCGGUAAUACGUAGGGGGCAAGCGUUAUCCGGAUUUACUGGGUGUAAAGGGAGCGUAGACGGCAAGGCAAGUCUGAAGUGAAAGCCCGGGGCUUAACCGCGGGACUGCUUUGGAAACUGUCUGGCUGGAGUGCCGGAGAGGUAAGCGGAAUUCCUAGUGUAGCGGUGAAAUGCGUAGAUAUUAGGAGGAACACCAGUGGCGAAAGCGGCUUACUGGACGGUAACUGACGUUGAGGCUCGAAAGCGUGGGGAGCAAACAGGAUUAGAUACCCUGGUAGUCCACGCCGUAACGAUGAAUACUAGGUGUUGGUGGGCAAAGCCCAUCGGUGGCCGUCGCAACGCAUAAGUAUUCCACCU